UACGGAGGGUGCAAGCGUUAUCCGGAUUCACUGGGUUUAAAAGGGUGCGUAGGCGGAUAGGUAAGUCCGUGGUGAAAUCCUGCAGCUUAACUGCAGAACUGCCAUGGAUACUAUCUAUCUUGAAUGUCGUGGAGGUUAGCGGAAUAUGUCAUGUAGCGGUGAAAUGCUUAGAGAUGACAUAGAACACCCAUUGCGAAGGCAGCUAACUACGCGAUAAUUGACGCUGAUGCACGAAAGCGUGGGGAUCAA
rnacentral:rRNA from 1 species